AUGAAAAAGAUCAGAGGUCUGAGAGAGCUUGCUCUGUUGGAGGAACUACAUGUCAUGUAUUAUUACUGGAGCAUGAAUUCCGUGGAAGAGCAUUGGGAAAGGUCUUGGAUAUCAGGAGAGAGCAUUUGGAUAUCUUUCUGGAAGAGAUGGGAUUUCUAUUUUGGGCGGUUGGCACAAAGAGACGUCAGCGGAUGUUGGCAGAAACCAUGUUUCUCUCCAGCUGCUCCAAUGGAAAUCAUCAUGUUACAAAGUCCUGCUGAACUUACAAGUUACAUACAGGAAGAAAUUUGGGAAGACUCUUUCUUUCCAUUUCCAAAGAUGAAUGUUAUUGUCCUCAUUAAGAUAGAAACACUUUUUGGAUCCUAGUCUUCUCCAGAACCUUUCUCCCAUUGGAACACAAGCCUUUUGAAGGAAAAAAACUCUAGAAUUUGGAGGAAACUGGAAUUUUCAUCUGAGAAGCUUUAGAACUGUUCACAGUUCAACUUGCCUCAGUUUGCCUCACUGAGCCACUGAGUCACGCUGGUAUAAAAGGAGCGAAGGCAAAGCAAAAACAAGGACCUCACCUAAGGGAGAAAUGGGACAGAAGCCAUGUGCUCUGUGUGCUCUGUCACAGGGGGAUCCAGAUCCAGCCGCUGGCCGGAGCAAGAGGAGUUGUUUGCUGUGGGACUCUGAGCAAAGAGCAGUGACUUACCAAUGACCCUUCCUCUCCAUGCUUCCUGUGGGCUGUCUCCCCUUUUACAUAUUAUGGAACUGUCCCUUCCACAUAAAUCUAAACAUGGAUCCCCGUUUUUGCCCCUCCAAAAUGGGCUGGAAGACACAUCCCUGACCACAUCAUAACCCAGAAAGCCAGAUGCUGAUGACACACUUUGCAGCUGGGAUCCCUUUGCCUUGGUAUCUGGGACCACAACUGAGUACUUUCCAACUGUACUGUUACCUCAUUAUUAUUCAAAUGUAAUCUGUAUUGGCAUGUUAAUGAAGUAAAGAUUUGGAAAAGAAUUGUGUAUAUUCUUCAAAUCUAGAAAAAGUUUUGAUGGUUGUAUUCGCAAUGGAAAAGCGAUGUUUUAGAAAGAGGGAUGACAUUUUAUAACAUUAGAUGGCAUUCUCCUGGGGACAGGGGACCAGGAACAUUUGAAUCCUGCCUUAAUCUCACAGCUUUUUCCUGUAAUGUCUCCAUAAAAACAAGGGACCACAGCAAAUGAGAAAUUAAAGUCCACUUUAUUAUUAGCCUGGCCAACGCCAAAUAAACAAAUGCAGAACUUUCUGGUAAUUUGCUUAGGACACAUGGCAUACUCUCAGAUCACAGUCCAGACCACCAAACUCUAAAUUAAAUAUCUUAUCUUAGAAUCUUAGCAUCCUUGGGCUGCUCACAUGGAACAGGAGACAGAAGUAAUAAAUAAGGAACGUACUGCAUGGAAAAAGAAAUAAAAUUAACCUGGGGAAAUUUCAGAGACAGGGUCUUUUAUUAAAACAAGACAACAAACAAAUGAAAAGUACUCCACCAUAAAAAACAGCUUUUCUAUAAAAAGUUAUCUAUCAUCAGGCAGACAGAUCUUCUGAACCUAAUGCCUAAGUGAUAGAUAGAGAGGGAGUGUGUGUUCCAGCAUAAAACCCUGGGUACAAGAAGAAAAGAAGAGAUGGCUAAACUAAGGGCCUGUUACCAAUGUAGCCAUAAGAUUAAAGGAGAAAGUAAAGUUUAGCCUAUGACGAACUUCCCACUAGUGAAUAUGGACCACCCCAGCAGCAGAGAAUCCAACAUAGUUUAGUACCUCAGUUUCUUAGGAAAAAGUAAAGAAGAGGGCAAGAGGAUGAAGAAACUGUUUCCCCAACCCUGUACAAGUCAACGAUUGGUUAAAAGAGAAAGAAAGGCUUGUAUUUAUUUUGAGGUGGUUGUUUUAUUGUCGUCGUUAAUAUUACAGUUGUGAGUCCCUUGCACCUUGGAGGGGAAUUUAUACAGGAACUCCUGCAACCAUCACAAUUACAUCUUUUUUUAGAAUUAGGUAUUGUAAGAAGUCCACAGGUCUCAGCCCAUACAUUGAAUGGUUCAAGUUAAAAAAAUAAUAAUAACAACUUAACUCUUGUUAACCUUUGCCAAGCAAUCCUGACCCUCCCAGGGUGUGAGAAUCCAAGCAAGAAUCACAGCGACAGCUAUGCGGGUGUCAAAAAGGAGCCUCAGAAAGAUUAAUUUGACCAAGAUUUCUGUAUUAGUCCAUUCUCACGCUGCUAUGAAGAAAUACCUGAGACUGGGUAAUGGAUAAAGGAAAGAGGUUUAGUUGACUCACAGUUCUGCAGGGGUGAGGAGGCCCCAGAAAACUUAUAAUCAUGGCAGAAGGUGCCCUUUCACAGGGAAGCAGGAGAGAGAAUGGUGCCCAGCAAAGGGGGAAGCCUCUUAUAAAACCAUCAGAUCUCAUGAGACCCACUCACUAUCGUGAGAACAGCAUGAUGAAAACUGCCCCCAUGAUUCAAUUAUCUCCAUCUGGUCCUGCCCUUAACUUACACACAGGGAUUAUUACAUUUCAAGGUGAGAUUUGGGUGGGGACACAGAGCCAAAUCAUAUCUAUCUCAUAGCUAAUAAAUGUGAUCUUGGCUGUAAGUCCAGAUUCUAUGCUACAGUCAUUUAAAAAGAAAAAAAUUGAGGUUCUUAUACCAGAAUUGCACAAUUAAUUACAACAGGUUUUGGAAAUCACUUGAUUUUUUUGUCUCAUUAGCCAUUGCAAUUUGGCCUGCAUAAAAGUAUUCAAAGUAGAUACUGAAUUACUCUAUUUUUUCUGUAUACAAAUAGAGCCAAGCAGGCAUUGCUCACCAUGUUCUUUGUAGCAUUCUCUAAAUAAUUUUUCUUUUGAU
ensembl:lincRNA